AUCCUUGUAAGGUAUACAUAGUGGUUUCCUAAACCGCGUGCCACAGGUUCGAGUCCUGUCAGGGGUA
rnacentral:tRNA from 1 species